GCUCUCAGUGACUGAGCUUGUAGAUAAUUUCAACCGUAAAAUUACAAAUGUUAUUGAUGCCAUUGCGCCCACUAAGGUCAAAGUUGUCUCUGGUAAGAAAAGAUCUCCAUGGAGAAAUGUCCUACCGGUGAGAACAAAAAAUAGAGAGUGUAGGAAAGCUGAACGAAGGUGGCGAAAAACAAAUCUCCUGGUCCAUUAUAACACCUAUAAAGAGAGACUUCGCAUUUAUAAUUUGGAACUGAGGAAUGCAAGAAGGUCCUUCUUCCCUGAAAUUAUCUCUAGAAACAAUAAUAAUUCACGUGCUUUGUUUGGUACUGUCGAUAGGUUAACAAACCCUCCAGGACCAGUAGCAUCUGAACUUUUAUCUACCAAGGCCUGCAAUGACUUUGCCUCCUUCUUCAAAGACAAAAUUCA